GGCUAAGUGAUGAAAUUGGUAGACAUGAAGGACUUAAAAUCCUUUGGACAGAAAUGUUCGUGCUGGUUCGAGUCCAGUCUUAGCUA
rnacentral:tRNA from 1 species